UACGAGGGAGGCGAGCGUUGUUCGGAAUUAUUGGGCGUAAAGGGUGCGUAGGCGGUUUGGUAAGUCUUGUGUGAAAUCUCCAGGCUCAACUUGGAGUCUGCACGAGAAACUGCCGGGCUUGAGUGCGGGAGAGGUGAGUGGAAUUCCUGGUGUAGCGGUGAAAUGCGUAGAUAUCAGGAGGAACACCUGUGGCGAAAGCGGCUCACUGGACCACAACUGACGCUGAUGCACGAAAGCUAGGGGAGCAAACAGG
rnacentral:rRNA from 1 species